AAACCAGUUUGGGGUAAGGUCAAAAUGGCUUUCUUCCUUUUUCCAGCUUCCUCCUCUAUGUCUUCUUCCUUUUUCAUGAUUCCUCCUCUGCGCCUUCUUCCAAAUUAGUAAGGUCAGCCAUUUGCUUUCUUCCAUUGCUGCAACCUUUGCACAAAUGGGCGGCUCCAAGACAACCUCAUCUAACCAGAAGUUUGAGGUUUUCAUUUCUCCACAUCUUCUUCAAAACCCUAGCAAUUUCUAUGAGUAUUGACUUGGUUUACAUGUUCUUCAAAGCUCAGUUGGUGAAUUAUUUGCUCUAGUGUGAAAGAAGCAGCCUUGGGCCGAUCCAAAGAUUGUCAAGUUGGUGGUCUGUUUGCAUAUUUAGUGGGACUUGAGAUACAGAACCGUACUUGUGGAGGCCAAGCGGCAAGCAGAAAAGAAGAGAGAUGAAGAAGCAAAAGUUGCAGCAUUAGAAAGUGCAAAAGAAGCAGGUGUGGCAGAAAGUCAGUGACAAGUUGAUGAAGCUAUGACUGCUUCACACGGAGCUGUUUCCAAGGGAUCUAAUUCUGGUGGACCAAAAAAAACACCCG